rnacentral:rRNA from 1 species
GUCCACAGCCACACCGCCCUGAAUGCGCCCAGUCGCAUCUGAUCUCGGACGCUAAGCAGGGCAGACAUGGUGAGAACUUGGAUGGGUGGUGCACG